GCCGAGAGAGAAGAACCACGAGAGAGAAGCAGAGGCCACCAGAGCACGCCGGAGAGCCCAGAUAGUGAAGACUUGCUGGGGGUUGGGAGGCCUGCCAGCCUCCCGGCCCCCCGGCACCCGAGCCUGCUGUGUACCUGGUUAAAGCACCCACCUGAGAUUAUUAGAAACACAUGCCUCCUGACAAAUGGGAAAGAGAAUUUAGGAGAUGCUUUGGAGACGCUAUAGAGUUCAAACUAAGGACACAGUUUGGCGCAGGUCUCAGUGUUAGGGAGCAUGUUGAGGAUUCAAUAUCCGGUCAAAUACAGGCUUAUUAUAAAUCCUCUCUAUAGUUAUCUCAGAAGAGAAAAGCAG